GAAAAAGCAUCUUUUUUCUUCUUUAACCAAACAUGCCCAGAUACAGCUGCUUCUCUUUUCUAUGAUAGUUGCUGAGUUCUGAUUGUGUCAACUGGAGAUACCGCCGGACAUUGGCAUCUUCAAAGACAAUGAAGAAGGAGCCCAAGGUGGUCAUAAGAGGAGUCAGAUGCCCUGGAACUAGAGUUACAGCUGACUGUGAGCUGCUAUAUGGUCCUGAACCAAACCCAAGUCCACUACAAGAGCAGCAAGCACUUUUAACUGAGAACUGGGGUUCAAUUCCCAGCACCCACAUGGCAGCUUACAACUGUCUGUAACUCCAGG